GGAUGCGAUCAUACCAGCACUAAAGCACCGGAUCCCAUCAGAACUUCGAAGUUAGGUGUGCUUGGGCGAGAGUAGUACUAGGAUCGGUGACCUCCUAGGAAGUCCAAGCACGCUUAGA
rnacentral:rRNA from 1 species